GAGUUUGAUCAUGGCUCAGAAUGAACGCUGGCGGCGUGCUUAACACAUGCAAGUCGAGCGAGGCCUGGGGGGCAACUCCCAGAGUCGAGCGGCGGACGGGUGAGUAACACGUGGGUAACCUGCCCGGAAGUGGGGAAUACCUCGGGGAAACUCGAGCUAAUACCGCAUGACAUCUUUGGGACGAAAGUCCUGACGAUCAAAGCGGGGUCGCAAGAUCUCGCGCUACCGGAUGGGCCCGCGCCCGAUUAGCUAGUUGGUGAGGUAACGGCUCACCAAGGCUUCGAUCGGUAACCGGCCUGAGAGGGCGAUCGGUCACACCGGAACUGAGACACGGUCCGGACUCCUACGGGAGGCAGCAGUGGGGAAUCUUGCGCAAUGGGCGAAAGCCUGACGCAGCAACGCCGCGUGGAGGAUGAAGGCCCUUGGGUUGUAAACUCCUGUCGGCUGGGAAGAAAUCGUUCGGGGCUCAUACCCUCGGACGUUGACUGUACCAGCAAAGGAAGCCCGGCUAACUCUGUGCCAGCCGCCGCGGUAAG
rnacentral:rRNA from 1 species